GGUGAUCAACACUGAGAUCCUCACAGGCCCCUUUGCUGCAUCUGCUAAAACCUCUUUAAUUCACUCAGUGAAAAUUAUGAUGGAAAAUCCCUGGAACUUCACAAAAUUUCUAUUUUGAAGGUUUGAUUUCUUCCUGUGCUCAGGAUGAGUAGAUGAACCUCAUGCUUUACUUAUUGAAAGUUGAUGCAUGAAGAAAAUAAAUAUCAGAGUUUAGGAUGAGGACAGAUGAAAAGAUAACUACUAUUGGAAUUUACCUGGGGAGUGACAGGAAAUGCUUGCAUAUGUGGUCCAGUCUAGCACUGUAACAGCAGGCUCAUCAGGCUCCCUGCAUCUCCGUACAUAUUGUUCCUUACUGAAGCAAGAGGUGUUUUGCCCUUUGGACCUCCUGUCAUCCAGAGCUCAUAUCCUGGUGCAGGUCUGGACAUGGCUCACCCUCCUCUGAUGCCUGAGAUACCUCACCUUUCAGUGUUUUAUCACUGAGGAGGCUACAUCUGUUAUACAGCUUUCUGUAGGUAUAGGUGACAAUUAUAAGGUGCAAAUCUGAGUUAAUUUCUGUACCUGUCAUCAAAUAUUUCCUUCAGCUUAGCUAACUAACAUAUCCAGAUUUUGUUUUAAAAAAUAU
rnacentral:lncRNA from 1 species